rnacentral:rRNA from 1 species
AUACGGAGGAUGCGAGCGUUAUCCGGAUUUAUUGGGUUUAAAGGUUGCGCAGGCGGGCGAUUACGUCAGCGGUGAAAGGCUAGGGCUCAACCGGAGCAGUGCCGUUGAUACUGGUUGGCUUGAAUUCGGUCAAGGCCGGAGGAAUGUGGCGGGUAUCGUUGAAAUGCAUAGCUAUGCCACAGAACACCGAUAGCGAAGGCAGCUGGCCGGGCCUGCAUUGACGCUGAGGCACGAAAGCGUGGGGAUCGAACAGGAUUAGAUACCCUGGUAGUCCACGCUGUAAACGAUGGACACUCGUUGUCGGCGACAGACAGUCGGCGGCCAAGCGAAAGUGAUAAGUGUCCCACCUGGGGAGUACGGUCGCAAGGCUGAAACUCAAAUGAAUUGACGGGG